rnacentral:lncRNA from 10 species
UCUGCAUUGAACCAUGAGUCAAGUUCUUGAUAAAGGAGUGAAAAUGGUAAGUCUAAAGCAAUGAAAAGCUGCUGUAUUGACUACACAUGCCUUCAUUUCUUCUACCCUGCUUCUUUCAUGCCUGCUUAUCUGAAUGACACCAGGAUGACAUUUAAGGCACAUCUGAAGAUGGGGAAACCACAGCACAGAAUAAGGCUGGGCCCUUGAAUCAAUAAAUGAAGGAGAACUACUCAAGAGAACAAAACCACCAGCAAUAUCCACCUGUAUUUGUCUUUUCAUAAUGUGUGACACAUGUGCUCAUGGAUUAUUGUCCGAAGCAAGACAUGUGACCAAGCCUAACAUCAACUGGGUGAAGAGCUAUAUGUUCCUUUCUCAAGAGGCACUACAAGUGACAUGCCACUGGGCAGCACUGUUCACAUUAUGUAAGUGAUAAAAUUGACCUAAAUAUCCAUCAAUGGACAAAUAGAUCAAGAAAACAUGAUAAACAUACACAGUGGAAUACUAUACAGCUACAAAAAGAAUGACCUUCUGUCAUUUGUGACAACGUGGAUAAACCUGCAGGACAUUCUGUUAAGUGAAAUCAAC